UUUCUCUUCCCCUUAUAGGCCUGGUUGGUACACAACGUUGGACAGACCUGCUGCCUUAACUCUUUAAUUCAGGUUUGUAAUGAACGUGGACUUCACCAGGAUAUUGAAGAGGUAAGCCUCUUCUUCAGGCUGAUAAGCAUGUGUAUUAUUUCAUUUUUAAUAUAUUCAGUUAUUCACAGUGACUUGAACUUUUUGAGAUGUUCUCUCAAAAGUUGGCAGAGAGAAGUCCUGUUUCUGCAUAUUCUGGAUUACACAUUAUUUCUGAAACUUCUUAGGUUGGUAUAGGGUGGGGCCCAGGUAUUGAUACUUUUUAAAAGCACUCCUUGGGUGACUUUAAAGUGCAGCCAGGAUUGAUGGCCACUGACUUGGUUAAAGAGACAGUUGGAACUAGACUGAUGUUGGGAAGGAGUCAGUGGACAGUACACACUUCCCUUCCCCCAACACUCACACAAUGUGCGCUCUCUCUCUCUCUUUCUCUCUCUCUCUCUCUCUCUCUCUCUCUCUUUCUUUCUGUCUUUAUCACUCCUUUCCUGGCCCUGUGCUCUCUCCUUUUUCUCAUCCAGGUAGUGCCUGUAAUUAAAUGAAUCAUUGCCAAACCACAAGGAAAGCCCUUCGUGUUGCCCUUUCUUCCUGGGGCUUAACCCAGCUUGUGCCUCUGCAGUUUGGAGAGCUUUAGGCUGGACGUUUGCUGCUUGCCUGAGAUGUGGAGCCAGGACCUCCUCAUGCACCUGCCCUCUGCUCUCACAUGACUGCUGGGCAGAGUGUAGAGGGGCUGAGGCAACAGUCAUGCUGAUGUCCCUCUCUAGAGGGUCUCCUGUACAGCAGAUUUACUCAUGUGGUGCUUCUCAACCUUGGCCACACAUUGAAAUAAUCUGGGGAAAUAAAACAUUCUGAUAACUGGGCCCCACCCUCCAGAAUUCUGGUGUAAUUUGUAUGGGCGUGGCCUGGAUAUGGAGAUUUAAAUUUUUUUCCAAGUGAUUACAGUGUACACUUAACUUCAAAAACUACACGUAAGGAAGUUUCCAUCCAUUCUUUUGUGGCAGGACCAUGGUUCCCAAGGGAGCUGACAAGCAGAGGAGAAGUGUCCCUUUCCAGCUGCUUCUUCUGCAGGUGAAGAUGGAGGACCACUGGCAGAAUGCAGUGCAGCCCCUGGAGCUGGCCUACUUCCUGCAGAAGUACAGCAUGCUGAUAAUAAGCGGUCAGAGAUUUCCUUAAAUGCCUGAAUCGUAUUUGUCCAGCAUGGUGCUGCCCAACUCUACCUCAAAAUCUGGAACCUAAUU